rfam:Aquimixticola soesokkakensis strain CECT 8620 genome assembly, contig: 0019
AAUCAAGCGCGAGAAGGGCGUUUGGUGGAUGCCUAGGCAGUAAGAGGCGAUGAAGGACGUGAUACCCUGCGAUAAGCUUUGGGGAGCCGGGAAUAGGCUUUGAUCCAAAGAUCUCCGAAUGGGGCAACCCACUUGAAUGUUUGUUAUUGUUGUCUUCGGACAGUCAAUAACUUGCAUAACCAAGUACUUAUUACCUGAAUACAUAGGGUUUUAAGAGCAAACCCGGGGAACUGAAACAUCUAAGUACCCGGAGGAAAGGACAUCAAUUAGAGACUCCCCUAGUAGCGGCGAGCGAACGGGGACCAGCCGAGCCUGAUGAGUGACUAGAAUGCGCUGGAAAACGCAGCCAUAGCGGGUGAUAGCCCCGUAUAGGAAGCUCUGAGGGACGUAUUAAGUAGGGCGGGACACGUGAAAUCCUGUCUGAAGAUCGGAGGACCACCUCCGAAGGCUAAGUACUCCUUACUGACCGAUAGUGAACCAGUACCGUGAGGGAAAGGUGAAAAGCACCCCGACGAGGGGAGUGAAACAGUUUCUGAAACCGGACGCCUACAAGCAGUCGGAGGAGCCUUUAUUGAGCUCUGACGGCGUACCUUUUGUAUAAUGGGUCAUCGACUUGGUCUUACUAGCAAGCUUAAGCCGUUAGGUGUAGGCGCAGCGAAAGCGAGUCUUAAUAGGGCGAAUGAGUUAGUGGGAUCAGACCCGAAACCGAGUGAUCUAGGCAUGAUCAGGAUGAAGGUUGGGUAACACCAACUGGAGGUCCGAACCCACACCUGUUGAAAAAGGUCGGGAUGAAUUGUGCCUAGGGGUGAAAGGCCAAUCAAACUCGGAGAUAGCUGGUUCUCUGCGAAAUCUAUUUAGGUAGAGCGUCAUCCGAAUACCCCGGGGGGUAGAGCACUGGAUGGGUAAUGGGGCCCCACAGGCUUACUGAUCCUAACCAAACUCCGAAUACCCGGGAGUACUAGAUGGCAGACACACGGCGGGUGCUAACGUCCGUCGUGGAGAGGGAAACAACCCUGACCUCCAGCUAAGGCCCCUAAUUCAUGGCUAAGUGGGAAAGCAGGUGGGACGACCAAAACAACCAGGAGGUUGGCUUAGAAGCAGCCAUCCUUUAAAGAUAGCGUAACAGCUCACUGGUCUAGAUAAGUUGUCCUGCGGCGAAGAUGUAACGGGGCUCAAGCCAUGAGCCGAAGCUGAGGAUGUGCAUUUAUGCACGUGGUAGCAGAGCGUAGUGUGAUAUAGCACUUGCCUUUAUUAUCGCCUUUGGCACGCGAGCGCAGCAAUGUGCUCAAGUAGCCGCUAGGCGGUAGCACAAGGCACAGUGCUUUCUGUGAAGCUGGCGCGUGAGCGAUCCGGUGGAGAGAUCACUAGUGAGAAUGAUGACAUGAGUAGCGACAAAGAGGGUGAGAGACCCUCUCGCCGAAAGUCCAAGGGUUCCUGCUUAAAGCUAAUCUGAGCAGGGUAAGCCGACCCCUAAGGCGAGGCCGAAAGGCGUAGUCGAUGGGAAUCAGGUUAAUAUUCCUGAGCCAGUAGGAUGUGACGGAUCUCGAAGGUUGUUUCCCCUUAUUGGAUUGGGGAGGCCGCUUAGAGGUUCCUGGAAAUAGCCCUACAUGAGAUCGUACCCUAAACCGACACAGGUGGACUGGUAGAGAAUACCAAGGCGCUUGAGAGAACGAUGUUGAAGGAACUCGGCAAAAUACCUCCGUAAGUUCGCGAGAAGGAGGCCCGAUUGGUAGGCAACUAUCGGUCGGGGGCACAAACCAGGGGGUGGCGACUGUUUACUAAAAACACAGGGCUCUGCGAAGUCGUAAGACGACGUAUAGGGUCUGACGCCUGCCCGGUGCCUGAAGGUUAAAAGGAGGGGUGAGAGCUCCGAAUUGAAGCCCAGGUAAACGGCGGCCGUAACUAUAACGGUCCUAAGGUAGCGAAAUUCCUUGUCGGGUAAGUUCCGACCUGCACGAAUGGCGUAACGACUUCCCCGCUGUCUCCAACAUCGACUCAGCGAAAUUGAAUUGCCUGUCAAGAUGCAGGCUUCCCGCGGUUAGACGGAAAGACCCCGUGCACCUUUACUACAGCUUCACACUGGCAUCAGGCCAAGCAUGUGCAGGAUAGGUGGUAGGCUUUGAAGCAGAGACGCCAGUCUUUGUGGAGCCUCCCUUGAGAUACCACCCUUGCUUUGCUUGAUGUCUAACCGCGGUCCGUUAUCCGGAUCCGGGACCCUGUGUGGCGGGUAGUUUGACUGGGGCGGUCGCCUCCCAAAGAGUAACGGAGGCGCGCGAAGGUUGGCUCAGAGCGGUCGGAAAUCGCUCGUUGAGUGCAAUGGCAGAAGCCAGCCUGACUGCAAGACUGACAAGUCGAGCAGAGUCGAAAGACGGCCAUAGUGAUCCGGUGGUCCCAAGUGGGAGGGCCAUCGCUCAACGGAUAAAAGGUACGCCGGGGAUAACAGGCUGAUACUGCCCAAGAGUCCAUAUCGACGGCAGUGUUUGGCACCUCGAUGUCGGCUCAUCUCAUCCUGGGGCUGGAGCAGGUCCCAAGGGUACGGCUGUUCGCCGUUUAAAGAGGUACGUGAGCUGGGUUUAGAACGUCGUGAGACAGUUCGGUCCCUAUCUGCCGUGGGUGUAGGAUACUUGAGAGGAGUUGCCCCUAGUACGAGAGGACCGGGGUGAACGAUCCACUGGUGGACCAGUUGUCAUGCCAAUGGCAGUGCUGGGUAGCUAUGAUCGGAAAGGAUAACCGCUGAAGGCAUCUAAGCGGGAAGCCCCCCUCAAAACAAGGUAUCCCUGAGGACCGUGGAAGACCACCACGUCGAUAGGCCAGAGAUGUAAGCGCGGUAACGCGUUCAGUUGACUGGUACUAAUUGUCCGAUAGGCUUGAUUUG